GAUGAACGCUGGCGGCGUGCCUAACACAUGCAAGUCGAGCGACAGGACAGGAAGUUCCUGCUCUUACGGUUGGCGCGGGGCGGUGGGGUAACACUUGCAUAGCCACCUACUAUUUCGGGGUUAAUUUCGGAAACCAGGUUACACUACGGCCUCAUACAUUAAACGGCUGGGUUCAUUGGAGAAUGCGGGUUUGCUUGUCACUAUUAGAUGAUUCCGCGCCGCAUUAGCUAGUUGGUAAGGUAACGGCUUACCAAGGCAACGAUGCGUAGCCGACCUGAGAGGGUGAUCGGCCACACUGGAACUGAGACACGGUCCAGACUCCUACGGGAGGCAGCAGUAGGGAAUCUUCCGCAAUGGGCGAAAGCCUGACGGAGCAACGCCGCGUGAGUGAUGAAGGUCUUCGGAUCGUAAAACUCUGUUAUUAGGGAAGAACAAAUGUGUAAGUAACUAUGCACGUCUUGACGGUACCUAAUCAGAAAGCCACGGCUAACUACGUG
rnacentral:rRNA from 1 species